UGGGGAAUUUUGGACAAUGGGGGAAACCCUGAUCCAGCCAUCCCGCGUGUGCGAUGAAGGCCUUCGGGUUGUAAAGCACUUUUGGCAGGAAAGAAACGUCAUGGGUUAAUACCCCGUGAAACUGACGGUACCUGCAGAAUAAGCACCGGCUAACUACGUGCCAGCAGCCGCGGUAAUACGUAGGGUGCAAGCGUUAAUCGGAAUUACUGGGCGUAAAGCGUGCACAGGCGGUUCGGAAAGAAAGAUGUGAAAUCCCAGAGCUCAACUUUGGAACUGCAUUUUUAACUACCGGGCUAGAGUGUGUCAGAGGGAGGUGGAAUUCCGCGUGUAGCAGUGAAAUGCGUAGAUAUGCGGAGGAACACCGAUGGCGAAGGCAGCCUCCUGGGAUAACACUGACGCUCAUGCACGAAAGCGUGGGGAGCAAACAGG
rnacentral:rRNA from 1 species